ensembl:snoRNA SNORD51 Small nucleolar RNA SNORD51
CUGGCUACAUGAUGAAUAAAAUCAAAUCACCAUCUUUCGGCUGAGCUCGUGAUGGAUUUGCUUUUUUCUGACAAAGCCG